UACGUAGGGUGCGAGCGUUAAUCGGAAUUACUGGGCGUAAAGCGUGCGCAGGCGGUAAGUUAAGUCUGAUGUGAAAGCCCCGGGCUCAACCUGGGAAUGGCAUUGGAAACUGGCUUGCUGGAGUGUGGCAGAGGGGGGUGGAAUUCCGCGUGUAGCAGUGAAAUGCGUAGAGAUGUGGAGGAACACCGAUGGCGAAGGCAGCCCCCUGGGCUGAGAUUGACGCUCAGGCACGAAAGCGUGGGGAGCAAACAGG
rnacentral:rRNA from 1 species